UACGAAGGGGGCUAGCGUUGCUCGGAAUUACUGGGCGUAAAGGGAGCGUAGGCGGACAUUUAAGUCAGGGGUGAAAUCCCGGGGCUCAACCUCGGAAUUGCCUUUGAUACUGGGUGUCUUGAGUAUGAGAGAGGUGUGUGGAACUCCGAGUGUAGAGGUGAAAUUCGUAGAUAUUCGGAAGAACACCAGUGGCGAAGGCGACGCACUGGCUCAUUACUGACGCUGAGGCUCGAAAGCGUGGGGAGCAAACAGGAUUAGAUACCCCUGUAGU
rnacentral:rRNA from 1 species